CCUACGGGAGGCAGCAGUAGGGAAUAUUGCUCAAUGGGGGAAACCCUGAAGCAGCAACGCCGCGUGGAGGAUGAAGGUUUUCGGAUUGUAAACUCCUUUUGUUAGAGAAGAUAAUGACGGUAUCUAACGAAUAAGCACCGGCUACCCCGUGCCAGCAGCCGGCGUUAUUCGGAGGGUGGCAGCGUUUCUCGGAAUUACCUGGCGUAAAGAGCGCGUAGGCGGGAUAGCAAGUCAGAUGUGAAAUCCUAUGGCUUAACCAUAGAACUGCAUUUGAAACUGUUAUUCUAGAGUAUGGGAGAGGUAGGUGGAAUUCUUGGUGUAGGGGUAAAAUCCGUAGAGAUCAAGAGGAAUACUCAUUGCGAAGGCGACCUGCUAGAACAUAACUGACGCUGAUGCGCGAAAGCGUGGGGAGCAAACAGGAUUAGAUACCCCAGUAGUC
rnacentral:rRNA from 1 species